UAUUCACUCUGGCGGCGUGCCUAAUACAUGCAAGUCGAGCGAACAGACGAGGAGCUUGCUCCUCUGACGUUAGCGGCGGACGGGUGAGUAACACGUGGAUAACCUACCUAUAAGACUGGGAUAACUUCGGGAAACCGGAGCUAAUACCGGAUAAUAUAUUGAACCGCAUGGUUCAAUAGUGAAAGACGGUUUUGCUGUCACUUAUAGAUGGAUCCGCGCCGCAUUAGCUAGUUGGUAAGGUAACGGCUUACCAAGGCAACGAUGCGUAGCCGACCUGAGAGGGGGAUCGGCCACACUGGAACUGAGACACGGGCCAGACUCCUACGGGAGGCAGCAGUAGGGAAUCUUCCGCAAUGGGCGAAAGCUUGACGGAGCAACGCCGCGUGAGUGAUGAAGGUCUUCGGAUCGUAAAACUCUGUUAUUAGGGAAGAACAAAUGUGUAAGUAACUAUGCACGUCUUGACGGUACCUAAUCAGAAAGCCACGGCUAACUACGU
rnacentral:rRNA from 1 species